AAGUCGUAACAAGGUUUCCGUAGGUGAACCUGCGGAAGGAUCAUUACCGAGUUCAUGCCCUCCGGGGUAGAUCUCCCACCCUGUCUACAUACCUACGUUGCUUUGGCGGGCCGACCCCCCAGGCCACCGGCAUCCCGCUGGUGUGCGCCCGCCGGAGGCCCUCGAACCCUGAUAUUCCAUGUGCCGUCCGAGUACUACGUAAUCGUUAAAACUUUCAACAACGGAUCUCUUGGUUCUG
rnacentral:misc_RNA from 1 species